rnacentral:rRNA from 1 species
CCCCUCGGGAAAGCCUUCUUCGGAGGGCAAGUAGAGUAGCAGACGGGUGAGUAAUACAUAGGUAAUCUACCCUUGAGUGGGGGACAACUCGCCGAAAGGUGGGCUAAUCCCGCAUAACGUCUUAUUGUUUAAGCGAUAAGACCAAAGGGGGGGAUCCUUCGGGACCUCUCGCUUGAGGAUGAGCUUAUGUCCUAUUAGCUAGUUGGCAGGGUAAUGGCCUACCAAGGCUCUGAUGGGUAGCUGGUCUGAGAGGAUGACCAGCCACACUGGGACUGAGACACGGCCCAGACUCCUACGGGAGGCAGCAGUGGGGAAUAUUGGACAAUGGGCGCAAGCCUGAUCCAGCAAUACCGCGUGUGUGAAGAAGGCUUUCCCGA